rnacentral:rRNA from 1 species
GACGAACGCUGGCGGCGUGCCUAAUACAUGCAAGUCGAACGCUGAAGAGAGGAGCUUGCUCUUCUUGGAUGAGUUGCGAACGGGUGAGUAACGCGUAGGUAACCUGCCUUGUAGCGGGGGAUAACUAUUGGAAACGAUAGCUAAUACCGCAUAACAAUGGAUGACACAUGUCAUUUAUUUGAAAGGGGCAAUUGCUCCACUACAAGAUGGACCUGCGUUGUAUUAGCUAGUAGGUGAGGUAAUGGCUCACCUAGGCGACGAUACAUAGCCGACCUGAGAGGGGGGUCGGCCACACUGGGACUGAGACACGGCCCAGACUCCUACGGGAGGCAGCAGUAGGGAAUCUUCGGCAAUGGGGGCAACCCUGACCGAGCAACGCCGCGUGAGUGAAGAAGGUUUUCGGAUCGUAAAGCUCUGUUGUAAGUCAAGAACGGGUGUGAGAGUGGAAAGUUCACACUGUGACGGUAGCUUACCAGAAAGGGACGGCUAACUACGUG